CCUACGGGAGGCAGCAGUAGGGAAUAUUGGUCAAUGGGCGAAAGCCUGAACCAGCAACGCCGCGUGCGCGAUGAAGGCCUUCGGGUCGUAAAGCGCUUUUGGGAGGGAUGAAAAUGACAGUACCUCCCGAAUAAGGAUCGGCUAACUACGUGCCAGCAGCCGCGGUAAGACGUAGGAUCCAAGCGUUAUCCGGAAUUACUGGGCGUAAAGGGCGCGUAGGAGGUUGGGCAAGUCGGCCAUGAAAGCUCCCGGCUCAACUGGGAGAGGCUGGUCGAUACUGCCUGGCUAGAGGGCAAGAGAGGGAGGUGGAAUUCCCGGUGUAGUGGUGAAAUGCGUAGAUAUCGGGAGGAACACCAGUGGCGAAGGCGGCCUCCUGGCUUGUACCUGACUCUGAAACGCGAAAGCAUGGGUAAGCAAACAGGAUUAGAAACCCUGGUAGUCCAUGCCAUAAACGAUGUCAACUGGGUGUCGGCGAAGUAAAAUUUGUCGGUGCCGAAGCUAACGCGUUAAGUUGACCGCCUGAGGACUACGAUCGCAAGAUUAAAACUUAAAGGAAUUGACGG
rnacentral:rRNA from 1 species